rnacentral:tRNA from 1 species
GCCUUGAUAGCUCAGUCGGUAGAGCAGGGGAUUGAAAAUCCCCGUGUCGGUGGUUCGAUUCCGCCUCGAGGCACCA